CUGUAGUUCGGGAAACGGCCGUUUGGCGCUGCUGUGUGCCCAUUUCGAAGUUGACAACUUCGUGUGGAGCUCGUAGCUAACGGUAUAUGCACGAAACGGGCCGCAACGAAGCGCUCAAUUGUGGCAGCGCCCGUUUUAGGCGAAUUUUCGUGUCAGUUCACGUUCGAUAUUUGUGUUGUUUGGUCGCGGCUAACGGGGCGCACGAAAACAAAACCGAAUCGAAGCAGCGCAACGGAACGGAACGAGCGACGCGUCGCGCUUUCUCCAUUAAUGAAACAUCCGCAACAAUGGCUCCGCGCGUAUGUGAGUGUGCAGUGUGUGAGUGUGCACAUGUAGAUGAGGCGUAGGCACUUCCAGUUGUUGCACUAAACAUAAACAGCAGCAACUAUUCAAAUCUGACCACAGCAAAAACAACAACAACAGCAGCGAACGGAAGUCAACGGCAGCCGCAGCCAAGUUUAAGUGUUUGCCAAGAUUGCGAUUUAUGUGUGUGCGUGUGUGUUCGCGUGUGUUUUUUGUGUAGCAUACGUCACGGGCGCCAUCAAGUCGCAACUUGCUAAGAGACGCUGCCUACGGCCAGGCAGCCGCCAAUAAAUAAAUAAAAAUAAAAUUAAAGGAAAAAGAAAUAUAUAUAUAUAUGUAAAAGGAAAUUCGAGCUAAAUACAAAAAGCCAGCCGAAAGUUUUCAAGUUUCAAGUGCGCUGAAUUCCAUGUGUUGUGCAAGCGAAAUACAGAACUAGCCAAAAGCCGGGAUUCUUCUUCGAAACGGUACGUUUGAUGAAUAGCUGCAGGUAUAUUAAAUGCAUGCGAGGCGCCAGCUGCUCGAGAAGCCAACGUCGGAGGCGUUGAGCACGUGAGAGCCCUGAAAAAAUGUCCGCUUGCAUGACAAUUGUAGCGUGGAGGCAUUCAGACAACGCAGCAGACAGCAGCGCCGUUGAGCGCAGCGUACGUGAAGUGUGUGCCAAGAACUUGGGGCAAGCAGCAGAACAACAACAGCAACAGCAACAGCAACAAGAACAACAGACGUGGCAAGGACGCUAAGCCAUAUGCAGCGCGCAGAGCAGGAGUCUUAGCACCUGCAGCAGCUCAACGCAGACAGAAGAGCAACGCACGGAAUAGCUAAUUCGCUUCAGCUGCCAA